rnacentral:rRNA from 1 species
GAUGAACGCUGGCGGCGUGCCUAAUACAUGCAAGUCGAGCGAAUGGAUUAAGAGCUUGCUCUUAUGAAGUUAGCGGCGGACGGGUGAGUAACACGUGGGUAACCUGCCCAUAAGACUGGGAUAACUCCGGGAAACCGGGGCUAAUACCGGAUAAUAUUUUGAACUGCAUGGUUCAAAAUUGAAAGGCGGCUUCGGCUGUCACUUAUGGAUGGACCCGCGUCGCAUUAGCUAGUUGGUGAGGUAACGGCUCACCAAGGCAACGAUGCGUAGCCGACCUGGGAGGGUGAUCGGCACACUGGGACUGAAACACGGCCCAGACUCCUACGGGAGGCAGCAGUAGGGAAUCUUCCGCAAUGGACGAAAGUCUGACGGAGCAACGCCGCGUGAGUGAUGAAGGCUUUCGGGUCGUAAAACUCUGUUGUUAGGGAAGAACAAGUGCUAGUUGAAUAAGCUGGCACCUUGACGGUACCUAACCAGAAAGCCACGGCUAACUACGUGCCAGCCGCCGCCGUAA